GUGGCAGACGGGUGAGUAACAUGUGGGAAUCUGCCUUGUGGUUCAGGACAACAUUGGGAAACCGAUGCUAAUACCGGAUAAGCCCUUACGGGGAAAGUUUUAAUGCCAAAAGAUGAGCCCGCACUUGAUUAGCUAGUUGGUGAGGUAAAAGCUCACCAAGGCGAUAAUCAAUAGCUGAUUUGAGAGGAUGAUCAGCCACACUGGGACUGAGAUACGGCCCAGACUCC
rnacentral:rRNA from 1 species